rnacentral:lncRNA from 1 species
UCGUGGUCACGCCGCACGCUGUGGUUUGAAGUUAUUAGUGUUUGUGUAAUGUGUAUCAAGUUUUUUUAGAUUGAUGGUAGAUUUUAGGUAAUUUGUUAUUAUUAUUUUUGUGGACAAUAUUUGCUUUUUGUAGCAGGUGUUUUUGUGUUUUUGGUGAUUAAGGAGCAAUAUUUGACAAACAGUCAGGACUUGGCUCAUCUGGCACUUUUAAUAAUUUACCAUCAGUGUUAGAAAAUAUUGAAAAGCCAUCCAGGAAAAGCAAUAUUGAUAAUAUACACUUUGCUGCUAUUGAAGAUGUACCCGUCAAUCUCGAUAGAGACGCUGAUGGAACUGCAAACUUAAUAUUAUUGUUGGAUGGAUUGUUUGACAGUUUAAAUUCCAGUAGAAAGUUUGGCUCACCGGGGAAACCGCUAAAAGGAGGUGUAUCAACCGGAACUGAUCAUAUAACAUAUUGGUAUAAUACUAUUAAAAUUUUAUCAACCAUGAAGUUUAAAACAAUUGAUGAUACCUCAGAAAAAUUUGUUGUGGUACGUACCAUCCUUAAAGAAUUUAAUAUUAACUUUAAAAGGUAUGAUCUACCUAUGUCAAAAAAUAUUUAGUAUUAGUCCAAAAUCAUAUGUAUUAACUAGGGUUAUUCAGCAGAAUGCAUUGGAGAAUUUUUUUUUCUUUAUUAGAGGGUAUAGUGGUAGAGAAAAUUCUCCAAGCGUAAAUCAUUUUAUUUCCUCCUUUAAAGCUCUACUAACAAAUCAUUUCAUGUCGAGUCAUUCGCCUGGAGCGAAUUGCGAGGAAGAUGAAAAUGAUGGACCCUUGGAGAAUUUAAAAGAUUUUCUUUUACAAGAUAAUUCGGAAAACAUUUCAAACUCAAAUAGACCAUGAGCAUUAAUCUUAAAAGUGUUCCUCCUGCUCCAAGACGAUCAAAAAUCUCACGAUGUGUCUACAAAUAUAUUUCUGGUUUUAUUUUGAGAAAGAUGAAAAAACUUAUUAAGUGUAAUUUUUGUAAAAGGAAUAUGUCAUCUAUUGACCUAAUGACAGAUCUUGAUUUUAUUGAAGCUAGGCAAUAUAAAAAUUGCAAUUUGACAGUUCCGGGAACAUAUUUUAACUUUCUGGUAAGCCAAGCGAUACCACGACUUUUUUAUUUAAUUCCGAGGGUUUGCCAUGUGACAAACAUUUCUAAAGUUUUGCAAGAAAUUAUUUCUAAAGAACUGCACACGUCUUUAUUAAAUUGUGCGUUGCAUGAAAAUACCGAUAAAAUAUUUUUAAAAUAUAUCGUUAGAUGUUGCUUGUUUUUUUGGUGUAAAAAAAUAAUUUUAAUAUCAAAAGGCAAAGAUGCGAAAUUUGUUAGGUAUUUCAGAACUACACCCAAAGAUCUAAUAGACCCCAUUAAAAUUAAUGCAUAUAAAAAAAAUUUAAAAAAGAAAAAAAUGUAAAAACAUAAAUAACAUUUUCUAUACAUACCAGGUGUUAACAGGCAUUUCUUUAAGUAAUUUUAAGACGAGAUUUUAAAGUCCAAAUAUUUGUUUUUUCGUGAUUAUUUUAAAUAUCAUAUAUCCAAUUUUGCUGUCAUUUGACAUUACAAUCAAUUAUACUAUAAUAUAGUAAGAUUAAGAUUAUAGUAAGAUUUUCAUUUAGUACCUAGUUGGAUUAAUUUUGUAAAGGUUAAUGGUUAAUGGUGUCCCUAGCGAUACCUAAACAACUAUUUUUAACCAAAAAAAUGCACGCCACUGACCUUUAUGGAUUUUUAAAAGCCUUUUUAGAUAAAUCAAUUAAAAAUACAGCUUUUUUUUCUUAAUUUUUUUUGUAUCUUGCUUAGUUUUCGUGAAAAAAAAAUUAAAUGCACCUAAUUUCAUGUGUAAAUUGUCUUUGCCCUAUAGACCACACAAUAACAUUUUUUUGAGAAAAAAAAAGAAAGGUUUUUCCCAUGUGUCUUGUUUAGUUUAGAGAAUGCAAUUAAACACAAUUUAUUUAUUUUUUCUCGAAAGCAGGAAAAAAUUCGAGUGACAAAAAAGCUGUAUUUUUAAUUGAGUCUUUUUAAGUCUCAAAAAUAGCCAUUUAGGUACCACUAGGACAAAGACAAUUUAUAUAAAGGGUGUCCCACAAAAAAAUGCGGCGAAAAAAAAUUUAAAAACAUUUUGAUAGGUGACUUUGCUAACAUGUACCUCAACUGAUAGGUAUUAAAAAGUUAAGAUAAGGAAAGUGCAAUUCGUUUUUUUCAAUUUAGGUCAAUUUAUGAUUAAAAUUUCCAUCCAGAUUCCUCCUUCAGAAAAAAUAUUGUACGUAACACAAUCCAAAAGUGAUUUUAUUUACUAAUAUUUCAUUCUUCUGCAAACCUUUACGUUUUAUAUAUAUACUUAGGCAUACAAUAUAAGUUUAUAUUUUUACUAAAACAUAAAGUAGUUAAAAAAUUGCUCUUUCUGUACAUUAUCUUUCAUUUAAAUGUGUUUUUUAUUAAAUAAUAUCACAGAUAAAGUAUUAUGUAAUAUAAUAUGUAUUUCCACAUUGUUACUUAUUUAAAUAAGUUAUUUACUACUCUCUCGCAUUUACACAAUACUCGUAAUGUUGGAAAUUUUAGGAUACCUCAACAUAAAACAAGUAACUUCUACAAGUCAUUUUCGGUUGUCGGAGUUACAAUGUGGAAUAACUUGCCAAAUAAUAUUAAAGAUUUGUCAUUUAAUAAAUUUUACACUAAGGUUAAGCAAAUUCUUCUCGACUCCCAACGAGAUGCUUAGUAAUAUGACUAGUAGUAGAUACAUAGUAGUAUAAACUGCCAAAUCAACUAAGACCAAAGAUAAGCUGGCCUGUCCAAUCUUUCUUUUGUGGUUCUUUUUUGUCUAUUCUUGUUACCUUCCGUCGCAUGCCAGCCAAAUUGCUUUGCCAUUUUUUGUUUCUGCCCUUUUUAGUUUUAGUUUUGUUCUUUUUUAAGUUAAUUAGGAUUUUUUUUUGUGUUUAUUUAUAAUGUUUUCAAGGCCUGUUUCACGCAAAUUGCGCUAUCGGUUUUAUAUAAUCGCGAAGCAGUUCCUUUUACCAAAAAUUGUCAAUUUUAUUUUCUCAUGUAGCUAAUUAUAUUUAUAACUAUUUUUUUGGUAAUAAACUUUUCUGACUUUGACAUAGACUUGCUGUAUAUUAUGUAUGUGUAAAA